rnacentral:rRNA from 1 species
CACGGGUGAGUAACACGUAUCCAACCUGCCGUCUACUCUUGGACAGCCUUCUGUAAGGAAGAUUAAUACAAGAUGGCAUCAUGAGUCCGCAUGUUCACAUGAUUAAAGGUAUUCCGGUAGACGAUGGGGAUGCGUUCCAUUAGAUAGUAGGCGGGGUAACGGCCCACCUAGUCUUCGAUGGAUAGGGGUUCUGAGAGGAAGGUCCCCCACAUUGGAACUGAGACACGGUCCAA